rnacentral:rRNA from 1 species
UCACUGGGUGGCGAGUGGCGGACGGGUGAGGAAUACAUCGGAAUCUACCUUGUCGUGGGGGAUAACGUAGGGAAACUUACGCUAAUACCGCAUACGACCUUCGGGUGAAAGUGGGGGACCGCAAGGCCUCACGCGAUUAGAUGAGCCGAUGUCGGAUUAGCUAGUUGGCGGGGUAAAAGCCCACCAAGGCGACGAUCCGUAGCUGGUCUGAGAGGAUGAUCAGCCACACUGGAACUGAGACACGGUCCAGACUCCUACGGGAGGCAGCAGUGGGGAAUAUUGGACAAUGGGCGCAAGCCUGAUCCAGCCAUACCGCGUGGGUGAAGAAGGCCUUCGGGUUGUAAAGCCCUUUUGUUGGGAAAGAAAUCUUGCCGGUUAAUACCUGGCGAGGAUGACGGUACCCAAAGAAUAAGCACCGGCUAACUUCGGGCCAGCAGCCGCGGUAAUACGAAGGGUGCAAGCGUUACUCGGAAUUACUGGGCGUAAAGCGUGCGUAGGUGGUGGUUUAAGUCUGCUGUGAAAGCCCUGGGGCUCAACCUGGGGAAUUGCAGUGGAUACUGGGUCACUAGAGUGUGGUAGAGGGAUGCGGAAUUUCCCGGUGUAGCAGUGAAAUGCUAAAGAUCGGAAGGGAACAUCCGGGACGAAGGGGGCAUCCCA